GAUGAACGCUAGCGGCAGGCUUAAUACAUGCAAGUUGAGGGGCAGCAUGAUAUACGCGAGUAUAUUGAUGGCGACCGGCGGACGGGUGAGUAAUAGGUAGGAGACCUACCUCAUACAGGGGGAUAGCAUAGAGAAAUCUGUGGUAAUACCCCAUGAGGUUAUAUGAAUAGAGGCAUAUAAUCAAAGCAUAAGCGAUUAUGCGGUAUGAGAGGGGCCUACUGACCAUUAGCUAGUUGGUGAGGUAAGGGCUCACCAAGGCGAAGAUGGUUAGGGGUUUUGAGAGAGAGACCCCCCACAUUGGAACUGAGAGACGGUCCAGACUCCUACGGGAGGCAGCAGUAGGGAAUAUUGGGCAAUGGGCGAAAGCCUGACCCAGCCAUGCCGCGUGAAGGAAGACGGCCUUUAUGGGUUGUAAACUUCUUUACUACGCGAAUAGAGGUUAGUACGAGAUACUAAUAGGAAGGUAGUGUAAGUAAAAAGCAACCGGCUAAACUCCGUCG
rnacentral:rRNA from 1 species